GUGCCUGUAGCUCAAUUGGAUAGAGCAUCUGACUACGGAUCAGAAGGUUGGGGGUUCGAGUCCCUCCAGGCACGCCA
rnacentral:tRNA from 7 species